rnacentral:rRNA from 1 species
GGCUCAACUGUUAGGCUUCUGGGGGAUACUGUCGAACUUGGAACCGGGAGAGGUAAGAGGUACUUCGGGGGUAGGAGUGAAAUCUUGUAAUCCUUGAGGGACCACCAAUGGCGAAGGCGUCUUACCAGAACGGGUUCGACGGUGAGGGACGAAAGCUGGGGGAGCGAACCGGAUUAGAUACCCGGGUAGUCCCAGCCGUAAACGAUGCUCGCUAGGUGUCUGGCAUGGUGCGA